GCCGGUGUGGCUCAGUGGAUAGAGCGUUGGCCUGCAGACUGAAGGGUACCAGGUUCGAUUCCGGCCAAGGGCA
rnacentral:tRNA from 1 species